rnacentral:rRNA from 1 species
GACGAACGCUGGCGGCGUGCUUAACACAUGCAAGUCGAACGGCAAGGCCCUGCUUUUGUGGGGUUCUCGAGUGGCGAAGGGGUGCGUAACACGUGAGUAACCUGCUCUUGUUUUUGGGAUAACUUCAGGAAACUGGGGCUAAUACCGGAUCGGAGAUCCUGCUGCAUGGUGGGGGUUGGAAAGUUUCGGCGGGUGGGGAUGGACUCGCGGCUUAUCGGCUUGUUGGUGGGGUAGUGGCUGACCCAGGAUGUGACGGGUAGCCGGCUUGAGAGGGUGACCGGCCACAUGGGGCCUGAGAGACGGCCCAGACUCCAACGGGGGACAGCAGGGGGAAAUAUGGCACAAUGGUCGGAAGCCUGAGGCGGCAACGCCGCGGGCGGGAUGACGGCCUUCGGGUUGAAAACCGCUGUCGCCUGUGACGAAGCGUGAGUGACGGUAAUGGGUAAAGAAGCACCGGCUAACUACGUG